rnacentral:rRNA from 1 species
GACGAACGCUGGCGGCGUGCCUAAUACGUGCAAGUAGAACGCUGAAGGAGGAGCUUGCUUCUCUGGAUGAGUUGCGAACGGGUGAGUAACGCGUAGGUAACCUGCCUGGUAGCGGGGGAUAACUAUUGGAAACGAUAGCUAAUACCGCAUAAUAGCAGUUGUUGCAUGAUAACUGUUUGAAAGGUGCAAUUGCACCACUACCAGAUGGACCUGCGUUGUAUUAGCUAGUUGGUGGGGUAACGGCUCACCAAGGCGACGAUACAUAGCCGACCUGAGAGGGUGAUCGGCCACACUGGGACUGAGACACGGCCCAGACUCCUACGGGAGGCAGCAGUAGGGAAUCUUCGGCAAUGGACGGAAGUCUGACCGAGCAACGCCGCGUGAGUGAAGAAGGUUUUCGGAUCGUAAAGCUCUGUUGUAAGAGAAGAACGAGUGUGAGAGUGGAAAGUUCACACUGUGACGGUAUCUUACCAGAAAGGGACGGCUAACUACGUG